AGCUUUGUGCGGUGGCAGUAUCGUAGCCAAUGAGGUUUAUCCAAGGAGCAAUUAUUGCUAAUUAAAAAUGGGACGCCUAAGAACUGUUACAAGUAAAUUUUUUUUUAAAAAA
rnacentral:snRNA from 1 species